rnacentral:rRNA from 1 species
UACGUAGGGGGCCAGCGUUGUCCGGAUUCAUUGGGCGUAAAGCGCGUGUAGGCGGCCAGGUAGGUCCGAUGUGAAAUCUGGAGGCUCAACCUCCAUCGGUCAUUGGAAACCAUCUGGCUAGAGUCCGGAAGAGGAGAGUGGAAUUCCUGGUGUAGCGGUGAAAUGCGUAGAUAUCUGGAGGAACACCGGUGGCGAAGGCGGCAUCCUGGACCAACACUGACACUGAGGAGCGAAAGCCAGGGGAGCAAACGGG